rnacentral:rRNA from 1 species
UACGGGGGGGGCAAGCGUUGUUCGGAAUUACUGGGCGUAAAGGGCUCGUAGGUGGCCAACUAAGUCAGACGUGAAAUCCCUCGGCUUAACCGGGGAACUGCGUCUGAUACUGGAUGGCCUGAGUUCGGGAGAGGGAUGCGGAAUUCCAGGUGUAGCGGUGAAAUGCGCAGAUAUCAGGAGGAACACCGAUGGCGAAGGCAGGUCUCUGGGCAUUAACUGACGCUGAGGAGCGAAAGCAUGGGGAGCGAACAGG